AGCACGUAUCAAAGGGGAUCUAGAGGAAAGAGAUCUAGAUUAAGAUCUCAGAUGUUAAAACAGUGUAUGACCUAGUAAAAAUUAGGCUUUAAAAUCAAUGAGUUAACAGAGGAAUAAUAAUGAAAGGAACUUCCCUAAACUAUGUCAAAGAAGGCAGAGAAUACACGUUUGAUUAGUUUAGAUCUUGUCAAAAAUUUAAGCAAAUUUCCCAAUUAAACAAAUAAAAUAAC
rnacentral:lncRNA from 1 species